rnacentral:rRNA from 1 species
UACGUAGGUGGCAAGCGUUGUCCGGAAUUAUUGGGCGUAAAGCGCGCGCAGGCGGUCCUUUAAGUCUGAUGUGAAAGCCCACGGCUCAACCGUGGAGGGUCAUUGGAAACUGGGGGACUUGAGUGCAGGAGAGAAGAGUGGAAUUCCACGUGUAGCGGUGAAAUGCGUAGAGAUGUGGAGGAACACCAGUGGCGAAGGCGACUCUUUGGGCUGGAACUGACGCUGAGGCGCGAAAGCGUGGGGAGCAAACAGG